UAACCUGCCUUGGAGUGGGGAAGUAACAGCUGGAAACAGCUGCUAAUACCGCAUAAUGCAGUUGGGUCGCAUGGCUCUGACUGCCAAAGAUUUAUCGCUCUGAGAUGGACUCGCGUCUGAUUAGCUAGUUGGCGGGGUAACGGCCCACCAAGGCGACGAUCAGUAGCCGGACUGAGAGGUUGGCCGGCCACAUUGGGACUGAGACACGGCCCAGACUCCUACGGAAGGCAGCAG
rnacentral:rRNA from 1 species